UGAAGCCAGUACUGUUUUCCAGGAGACAUCAAGGCCUUCACUCUUGCCUGAUGUGGUAGGAGAACAAAGAUGAGGGUAUUACUUAAAUGAUGAUAGCAAUAAUGCCACAUUUGUCAGAAGACCAAGAGAAUUUCCACAUGCUCACAGUGUCUCAAGAAAGUCCAUGUCAUCAUCAGGUCCCAGUCCCUAACUGCACUGCUGACAAAGGCAGCUACAGCAUGCAACAUCAAACAUUCUUAGUGAGUUUAAGAAAUAAA